rnacentral:rRNA from 1 species
AACGUAGGGGGCGAGCGUUGCCCGGAUUCACUGGGCGUAAAGCGGGUGUAGGCGGUUCCUUAAGUCGGAUGUGAAAUCCUGCGGCCCAACCGCGGAACUGCAUCCGAUACUGGGGAACUUGAGGACGGUAGAGGUCGGUGGAAUAUCCGGUGUACCGGUGAAAUGGGCAGAUAUCGGAUAGAACACCAGUGGCGAAGGCGGCCGACUGGGCCGAUCCUGACGCUGAGACCCGAAAGCUAGGGUAGCGAACCGG